CAUGACUAUCGGCAAUGUAUAUCUCAACUCUAUCUCGGCUGAAGAGCGCAAUGAAGAGCGCAUACGUGGUGCGAUACGCAGAAUCCCGCGCAGAAUCCGAGUCUCCAACGAGUCUUGCGCCGCAAGCCAACCGGCCAAGGGCCGGCCAAGGGCACGUCAAGC
rnacentral:rRNA from 1 species